rnacentral:rRNA from 1 species
GAUGAACGCUGGCGGCGUGCCUAAUACAUGCAAGUCGAGCGAACAGACGAGGAGCUUGCUCCUCUGACGUUAGCGGCGGACGGGUGAGUAACACGUGGAUAACCUACCUAUAAGACUGGGAUAACUUCGGGAAACCGGAGCUAAUACCGGAUAAUAUAUUGAACCGCAUGGUUCAAUAGUGAAAGACGGUUUUGCUGUCACUUAUAGAUGGAUCCGCGCCGCAUUAGCUAGUUGGUAAGGUAACGGCUUACCAAGGCAACGAUGCGUAGCCGACCUGAGAGGGGGGUCGGCCACACUGGAACUGAGACACGGUCCAGGCUCCUAAGGGAGGCAGCAGUAGGGAAUCUUCCGCAAUGGGCGAAAGCCUGACGGAGCAACGCCGCGUGAGUGAUGGAGGUCUUCGGAUCGUAAAACUCUGUUAUUAGGGAAGAACAAAUGUGUAAGUAACUAUGCACGUCUUGACGGUACCUAAUCAGAAAGCCACGGCUAACUACGUG